GACGAACGCUGGCGGCGUGCUUAACACAUGCAAGUCGAACGGAAAGGCCUUUUCGGAGGUACUCGAGUGGCGAACGGGUGAGUAACACGUGGGUGAUCUGCCCUGCACUCUGGGAUAAGCCUGGGAAACUGGGUCUAAUACCGGAUAGGACCGCACUUUAGUGUGUGUGGUGGAAAGUUUUUUCGGUGUAGGAUGAGCCCGCGGCCUAUCAGCUUGUUGGUGGGGUAAUGGCCUACCAAGGCGGCGACGGGUAGCCGGACUGAGAGGUUGGUCGGCCACAUUGGGACUGAGAUACGGCCCAGACUCCUACGGGAGGCAGCAGUGGGGAAUAUUGCACAAUGGGCGCAAGCCUGAUGCGGCGACGCCGCGUGGGGGAUGACGGCCUUCGGGUUGUAAACUCCUUUCGCCAGGGACGAAGCGUUUUGUGACGGUACCUGGAGAAGAAGCACCGGCUAACUACGUG
rnacentral:rRNA from 1 species